rnacentral:rRNA from 1 species
GUCGGGAAUAUUGCUCAAUGGGCGAAAGCCUGAAGCAGCAACGCCGCGUGCAUGAUGAAGGCCUUCGGGUCGUAAAAUGCUUUUUAGGAGGAUGAGGAAGGACAGUACUCCUAGAAUAAGCCACGGCAAACUACGUGCCAGCAGCCGCGGUAAAACGUAGGUGGCGAGCGUUAUCCGGAUUUACUGGGCGUAAAGCGCGUGCAGGCGGUCGGGCAAGUCGGGCAUUAAAUCUCUGGGCUUAACUCAGAGACGCUGUCCGAUACUGUUCGGCUUGAGGAUGGUAGAGGGCGAUGGAAUUCCGCGUGUAGUGGUGAAAUGCGUAGAUAUGCGGAGGAACACCAGUGGCGAAAGCGGUCGCCUGGACCAAACCUGACGCUAAAGCGCGAAAGCUAGGGUAGCGAACGGGAUUAGAAACCCUUGUAGUCC